GUCCUAGCCGUAAACGAUGGACACUAGGUGUUGGUGGUAUCAACCCCGCCAGUGCCGAAGCUAACGCAUUAAGUGUCCCGCCUGUGGAGUACGGCCGCAAGGCUAAAACUCAAAGGAAUUGACGGGGGCCCGCACAAGCAGCGGAGCGUGGGGUUUAAUUCGACGCAACGCGAAGAACCUUACCAGGGCUUUACAUGACCAGGAUCCCGGCGGAAACGUCGGUUCCCCGCAAGGGGGCCUGGCCACAGGUGUUGCAUGGCUGUCGU
rnacentral:rRNA from 1 species